UUUUGGUUUUCAGCGGAGACCUAACAGGUUUUUAAAACCUGUUAGGUCUAAUCAGAAGAAUAACA
rnacentral:sRNA from 1 species